UUCAAUGUGUUAUGAAGGCUUACAAUUU
rnacentral:sRNA from 1 species